rnacentral:rRNA from 1 species
GUGAUGCGCUCUACCAUGCAAGUCGAACGAUGAAGCCCUUCGGGGUGGAUUAGUGGCGAACGGGUGAGUAACACGUGGGCAAUCUGCCCUUCACUCUGGGACAAGCCCUGGAAACGGGGUCUAAUACCGGAUAAUACUUCCACUCGCAUGGGUGGGGGUUGAAAGCUCCGGCGGUGAAGGAUGAGCCCGCGGCCUAUCAGCUUGUUGGUGAGGUAGUGGCUCACCAAGGCGACGACGGGUAGCCGGCCUGAGAGGGCGACCGGCCACACUGGGACUGAGACACGGCCCAGACUCCUACGGGAGGCAGCAGUGGGGAAUAUUGCACAAUGGGCGAAAGCCUGAUGCAGCGACGCCGCGUGAGGGAUGACGGCCUUCGGGUUGUAAACCUCUUUCAGCAGGGAAGAAGCGAAAGUGACGGUACCUGCAGAAGAAGCGCCGGCUAACUACGUGCCAGCAGCCGCGGUAAUACGUAGGGCGCAAGCGUUGUCCGGAAUUAUUGGGCGUAAAGAGCUCGUAGGCGGUCUGUCGCGUCGGAUGUGAAAGCCCGGGGCUUAACCCCGGGUCUGCAUUCGAUACGGGCAGACUAGAGUGUGGUAGGGGAGAUCGGAAUUCCUGGUGUAGCGGUGAAAUGCGCAGAUAUCAGGAGGAACACCGGUGGCGAAGGCGGAUCUCUGGGCCAUUACUGACGCUGAGGAGCGAAAGCGUGGGGAGCGAACAGGAUUAGAUACCCUGGCAGUCCACGCCGUAAACUGUGGGAA